rnacentral:rRNA from 1 species
AUUGAACGCUGGCGGCAUGCCUUACACAUGCAAGUCGAACGGUAACAGGUUAAGCUGACGAGUGGCGAACGGGUGAGUAAUGUAUCGGAACGUGCCCAGUCGUGGGGGAUAACUGCUCGAAAGAGCAGCUAAUACCGCAUACGACCUGAGGGUGAAAGCGGGGGAUCGCAAGACCUCGCGCGAUUGGAGCGGCCGAUAUCAGAUUAGGUAGUUGGUGGGGUAAAAGCCCACCAAGCCAACGAUCUGUAGCUGGUCUGAGAGGACGACCAGCCACACUGGGACUGAGACACGGCCCAGACUCCUGCGGGGGGCAGCAGUGGGGAAUUUUGGACAAGGGACGCAAGUCUGAUCCAGCCAUGCCGCGUGCGGGAAGAAGGCCUUCGGGUUGUAAACCGCUUUUGUCAGGGAAGAAAAGGUUCUGGUUAAUACCUGGGACUCAUGACGGUACCUGAAGAAUAAGCACCGGCUAACUACGUGCCAGCAGCAGCCGCCGUAA